rnacentral:rRNA from 1 species
UACGUAGGGUGCGAGCGUUUGUCCGGAAUUAUUGGGCGUAAAGAGCUUGUAGGCGGUCUGUCGCGUCUGCUGUGAAAAUCCGGGGCUCAACCCCGGACUUGCAGUGGGUACGGGCAGACUAGAGUGUGGUAGGGGAGACUGGAAUUCCUGGUGUAGCGGUGAAAUGCGCAGAUAUCAGGAGGAACACCGAUGGCGAAGGCAGGUCUCUGGGCCAUAACUGACGCUGAGAAGCGAAAGCGUGGGGAGCAAACAGG